GGCCCCUUGGCGGAAUGGCAGACGCAGGGGACUUAAAAUCCUCGGCUCGAGAGAGCGUCCCGGUUCGAGCCCGGGAGGGGCCA
rnacentral:tRNA from 1 species